GUGGGGGUAGCUCAGAAACGUUAGAGCGCAUAAGGUUUACUUAUGAGGUCAUAGGUGCAAUACCUAUCCCCCGCA
rnacentral:tRNA from 1 species